rnacentral:ncRNA from 1 species
UUUAGAAAUAAAAACACAGUUUUGGUUGGUAGUCCAAACGCAAAUUAUUUUGUCAGUAACCUUCCUCCGGGUCGUCCAUUUUCUAUCUUAU